rnacentral:rRNA from 1 species
AUUGAACGCUGGCGGCAGGUCUAACACAUGCAAGUCGAACGAGUGGCGGACGGGUGAGUAAUGUCUGGGAAACUGCCUGAUGGAGGGGGAUAACUACUGGAAACGGUAGCUAAUACCGCAUACCAUCGGAUGUGCCCAGAUGGGUUUAGCUAGUAGGUGGGGUAACGGCUCACCUAGGCGACGAUCACUAGCUGGUCUGAGAGGAUGAACAGCCACACUGGAACUGAGACGCGGUCCAGACUCCUGCGAGAGGCAGCCGUGGGGAAUAUUGCACAGUUGGCGCAAGCCUGAUGCGGCCAUGCCGCGUGUAUGAAGAGGGCCUUCGUGUUGUAAAGUACUUUCAGCGGGGAGGCGUUACCCGCAGAAGAAGCACCGGCUAACUCCGUGCCAGCAGCCGCGGUGAUUC